rnacentral:rRNA from 1 species
CUACGGGAGGCAGCAGUCGAGAAUCAUUCGCAAUGGGCGAAAGCCUGACGAUGCGACGCCGUGUGAGCGAAGAAGGCCUUCGGGUUGUAAAGCUCUUUCGCCUGUGAACAAGAGAGAGUGGCUAAUAUCCACUUAAUUUGAGGGUAGCAGGUAAAGAAGCACCGGCUAACUCCGUGCCAGCAGCUGCGGUAAUACGGAGGGUGCAAGCAUUAAUCGGAUUUAUUGGGCGUAAAGGGCGCGUAGGCGGAGAGAAAAGUCAGGUGUGAAAUGCCGGGGCUCAACCUCGGAAUGGCAUUUGAAACUUUCUUUCUUGAGGGUAGAAGGAGAAAACGGAAUUCCACAAGUAGCGGUGAAAUGCGUAGAUAUGUGGAAGAACACCGGUGGCGAAGGCGGUUUUCUAUUUUAUUCCUGACGCUAAGGCGCGAAAGCAAGGGGAUCAAACAGGAUUAGAAACCCUAGUAGUCC